rnacentral:lncRNA from 1 species
GCAAUUCCCAUUUUGCGUCGCUGCUUCGCAGACACGAGCGGGGUGCGUUCCUCGUUAAGCGAGCCGAGGCUGCAUCGCAGUCACCCGGUGCGCGUAACGCAGUUAUUUUUUGAAUGCGGCACGGGAAAGUCGGGACGAGACGGCGCGAAGGAUAGCGCGGGGGAAGAGCGGAGACACACGGCCGAGGGGGGCAGCCCUGCUCCCGCCUCCCGCACCUCUGCCCGCGGCGCGGCCCGGGCUGCUCCCACGCGCCCCGCACCGCCGCGCCUCCCAGCGCCGUGCUGCCGGCACCGGGCAGCACCAAGCCGCUACGUGCCCGACCGGCUACAGGGGAAAAGAGCCAAGGGGAAAAAAAGAAAGGAAAAAAAAGUACAACUCGCGGCGCCGAGCGGACAACUUACUGACCGAGUCCCGCGUGCGGACCUCGCGCCAGGGGCGGCUCUCCGCGGAGCGCGGCCGCCCCUCGCUCCCGCCGGGCUGCCGCCCUCCCCGGGAGCGGAGCCGCGAGCCGACCCCGCGCGCCCCCUCGCUCCGCGCCCGGCUCCGCGGGAGGGGGUCGGCGCCGAGCCCGCCGUUCGCUCUCGCCCGCAACUCACCCAAGAAAGUUGCCGCGGCGGCAGCCGACGGCUCACCCUCCGCGCCGCUCGGCUGCGCUCCGCGCCCGGGAUGAGCUCACCCCGCCACCCGCUCCUCUCCGCUCCGCUCCGCCCGCCGCAGCUCUCGCGAGAGGGCCUGCCCCGCCGCCCGCGCGCCGGAGAGGCGGGGCGGGGGCGAGCGGCCCGCGCGCGUUCCCAUAGCAACGGCCAAACGCCGGGCCUAGCGGGCGGCCUGCGUCCCGCGCCCGCGUCGCCCCCGCUGCUCCCCGGGCACGUUCUGCUGCCUUGGGCCCAUCUGCCGGCCCCGGCCCCGGCCCCGCGAGUUUGGAAGCCCGGGGAGCUUAGGGGCAGAGGUGCCGCCGCUCGGCCCCCGAGGGGAAAGCCCUUGCUUUGUCCGAGGCUGCCACCCGCCUCGUGGCCCGGGGCGGGCUGA